rnacentral:rRNA from 1 species
UAGCNCGUACUCCGAAUCUCUGUNUAAAGUUUGAUCAUGGCUCAGCUUGAACGUAGAGCGGCAGGCCUAACACAUGCAAGUCGAACGGUAACAGGAAGCAGCUUGCUGCUUUGCUGACGAGUGGCGGACGGGUGAGUAAUGUCUGGGAAACUGCCUGAUGGAGGGGGAUAACUACUGGAAACGGUAGCUAAUACCGCAUAACGUCGCAAGACCAAAGAGGGGGACCUUCGGGCCUCUUGCCAUCGGAUGUGCCCAGAUGGGAUUAGCUAGUAGUGGGGUAACGGCUCACCUAGGCGACGAUCCCUAGCUGGUCUGAGAGAGAUGACCAGCACACUGGAACUGAGACACGGUCCAGACUCCUACGGGAAGCANCAGUGGGGAAUAUUGCACAAUGGGCGCCAAGCCUUNAUGCAGCCAUGCCGCGUGUAUGAAGAAGGCCUUCGGGUAUGUAACAGUACUUUCAGCGGGGAGGAAGGUGUUGAGGUUAACUAAACU